UGAUUAUGACGUACUUGUACUGAUUGAGAUUUUAACACGAAGUGAGUGGCGAACGGGUGAGUAACACGUGGGUAACCUGCCCAGAAGUAGGGGAUAACACCUGGUAAACAGAUGCUAAUACCGUAUAACAGAGAAAACCGCAUGGUUUUCUUUUAAAAGAUGGCUCUGCUAUCACUUCUGGAUGGACCCGCGGCGUAUUAGCUAGUUGGUGAGGUAAAGGCUCACCAAGGCAGUGAUACGUAGCCGACCUGAGAGGGUAAUCGGCCACAUUGGGACUGAGACACGGCCCAGACUCCUACGGGAGGCAGCAGUAGGGAAUCUUCCACAAUGGACGCAAGUCUGAUGGAGCAACGCCGCGUGAGUGAAGAAGGGUUUCGGCUCGUAAAGCUCUGUUGUUAAAGAAGAACGUGGGUAAGAGUAACUGUUUACCCAGUGACGGUAUUUAACCAGAAAGCCACGGCUAACUACGUGCCAGCAGCCGCGGUAAUACGUAGGUGGCAAGCGUUAUCCGGAUUUAUUGGGCGUAAAGCGAGCGCAGGCGGUCUUUUAAGUCUAAUGUGAAAGCCUUCGGCUCAACCGAAGAAGUGCAUUGGAAACUGGGAGACUUGAGUGCAGAAGAGGACAGUGGAACUCCAUGUGUAGCGGUGAAAUGCGUAGAUAUAUGGAAGAACACCAGUGGCGAAGGCGGCUGUCUGGUCUGCAACUGACGCUGAGGCUCGAAAGCAUGGGUAGCGAACAGGAUUAGAUACCCUGGUAGUCCAUGCCGUAAACGAUGAUUACUAAGUGUUGGAGGGUUUCCGCCCUUCAGUGCUGCAGCUAACGCAUUAAGUAAUCCGCCUGGGGAGUACGACCGCAAGGUUGAAACUCAAAAGAAUUGACGGGGGCCCGCACAAGCGGUGGAGCAUGUGGUUUAAUUCGAAGCUACGCGAAGAACCUUACCAGGUCUUGACAUCUUCUGACAGUCUAAGAGAUUAGAGGUUCCCUUCGGGGACAGAAUGACAGGUGGUGCAUGGUUGUCGUCAGCUCGUGUCGUGAGAUGUUGGGUUAAGUCCCGCAACGAGCGCAACCCUUAUUACUAGUUGCCAGCAUUAAGUUGGGCMCUCUAGUGAGACUGCCGGUGACAAACCGGAGGAAGGUGGGGACGACGUCAAAUCAUCAUGCCCCUUAUGACCUGGGCU
rnacentral:rRNA from 1 species